UAAAGAAACAUAAAAUAAACCGAAAAAUAGAUUACACACAUUUUACACAGCUAAUACAAAAAGAGAUGAAUUAAGUACACGGAUUAACCGAUCGAACUUGUACAAUCCGGUCGGGUCACAUCGUGGCGCGGCAUUAAGCGCGCAUAACUAGCGCCAGCGGUAGCUACACGAAAUUAAAUUCGAUGACAGAUUUGACAAACAAUAAAGUGAGUGAAUCUAAUAUAAUAUUAUGUAAAAUCUCAAUCAGUUUUAACUUUUUAGUCAUGAAAACAAUGUUACAAAGUUGGCUAAAAUAUAUAAACAAAAACAACACCAAAGUUAAACAAAUAGAAACAUAAUGAAAAUGACACAGAUAAAAAGGAUGGCGUGUCGGGAAUGGUGUUGACUCCUAUGCGGAAGGAACAAGAACAUUGUGGUUUCUCACUGGGGGCGGAAUGUUGUUCCAACAGCGGGACGCAGAAUAUUUAAAGCUUCCUCGGAAAGCGGCUGAGGCAUGACGCGGCGUCAACAGAUGAAUCCCACAAUCACGGCGUUCGCGGAGCUUGAUGCAAGAUAGCUUGUUGAAGAGAUAUGAAGGAGUUUUAUAGUUCAGUACGCCAAAGAGCAAACAAGCCAAGUGUAGUUUACGGCGGUGUUGCAUUUUGAGGAUGCUAUGGCUAUUCAGAUAUGGGGUCACGUGAGCUCUCAACGGAAUAUCGAAACAGAAGCGAGCACAGGCAUUUUGAACACGCUGUAUGAGUCGUUUAGUUUUUGCAAGAAGUCUUGGCCCAAACACAACAU